UACGUAGGGUGCAAGCGUUGUCCGGAAUUAUUGGGCGUAAAGAGCUCGUAGGCGGUUUGUCACGUCGGCUGUGAAAACCUAGGGCUCAACCCUGGGCCUGCAGCCGAUACGGGCAAACUAGAAUUCGGUAGGGGAGACUGGAAUUCCUGGUGUAGCGGUGAAAUGCGCAGAUAUCAGGAGGAACACCGAUGGCGAAGGCAGGUCUCUGGGCCACUACUGACGCUGAGAAGCGAAAGCAUGGGGAGCGAACAGG
rnacentral:rRNA from 1 species